ACACUCCGCGGGAGGCAGCAGUGGGGAAUUUUGGACAAUGGGCGAAAGCCUGAUCCAGCAAUGCCGCGUGAGUGAAGAAGGCCUUCGGGUUGUAAAGCUCUUUUGUCAGGGAAGAAACGGUGAAAGCUAAUAUCUUUUGCUAAUGACGGUACCUGAAGAAUAAGCACCGGCUAACUACGUGCCAGCAGCCGCGGUAAUACGUAGGGUGCAAGCGUUAAUCGGAAUUACUGGGCGUAAAGCGUGCGCAGGCGGUUUUGUAAGUCUGAUGUGAAAUCCCCGGGCUCAACCUGGGAAUUGCAUUGGAGACUGCAAGGCUAGAAUCUGGCAGAGGGGGGUAGAAUUCCACGUGUAGCAGUGAAAUGCGUAGAUAUGUGGAGGAACACCGAUGGCGAAGGCAGCCCCCUGGGUCAAGAUUGACGCUCAUGCACGAAAGCGUGGGGAGCAAACAGGAUUAGAAACCCGGGUAGUCC
rnacentral:rRNA from 1 species